UUUCCACCCUCAGACUUGGUCUGAGAGUGACUGCAGACAUUCUGGGAGGACCGCUGUAUCUCUUCUACAUUCACACUAUUGGAAUACAAAUUCAGUUUUUCUGGAAACUAUUGGAAUUUAAAAUGUGUUAUAUUUCUCUGGUUAAAUUGAUCUGGGUUUGUAUGAAAUUCUUUAAUUUUAUUAUUUUGAUGAAAUGUAUUCUCAUAACAUUAUUUACUAAAACUAGAAUAAUCGAUAAUAAUUUAUUGUUCAGUUUUUAAUAAAUGCAUGAUUAUAACAUUGUGUUGAGGUUUUUUAAUGAGUCAAAUGAUUGGACUAAUGUUAAAGCAAUCCACUGUUUGUUAGUGAUCCUUCAACAAUUAUAUGAAAAUAUUUGUUGAAUAAAUACAUUUGUUUAAUCCAUGUACAUUCAGACAAUAGAUAAAAAAUUAUAAUAAUUGUUUGAGCAAAUCAAAUAUUGAAUGAUUCAGAGAUUUUUGUCAAAAGCGAGUGAUUGUGUGACAGUAAGAUGAGCCUUUAAUAUGCGGGAGGUUUUUGUACAGCCUCUUAACGAGUUUGUAUCACUCUGGUACACUUUUGGUGGAGGCACCAAACUCAUCGUUGACUUGGGAGUGGUGCAGCCCACGCUGAGCGUCCUCCCUCCCUCCAGAGUGGAGCUGGAGCAGGGCAGUGCUACACUAGUGUGUGUGGCCAGUGGGGGCUUCCCCUCAGACUGGAAGCUUGGCUGGAAGGUGGGGGGCAGCAGCUGGUCUGGGGGGGUGUCAGAUAGCCUGGGGGUCCAGGGGAAAGAUGGCCACUACAGCUGGAGCAGCACCUUGACCCUCCCUGCAGACCAGUGGAGGAAGGCGGGCUCAGUGAGCUGUGAGGCCAGUAAGAAUGGCCAGACGCAGCCUGUCACUCAAACCCUGAAUCCUGGAGAGUGUUCAGAGUAGAGAGGCUCCAGCAUGGAGGUACUGGAGGAUACAGAUCUCCUCUGACACGUCUGCUUUAUCUCUCUCUGUCCAAGGUGGCACUGUAGCUUUUGUUGAAUUACAUUAAAACAACACGUGUUUGAUUCAUUAACGUUAUUCUCUCUGGUUUUUACCCCUUUCUUGGAUUUGUCACAUGUUGAACAUUUAAUAAAAACGCAAAAAAUACAAUAUUUCUUGUGAUAUAUUCCAAUCGUG